ensembl:lncRNA
CUCCCCACCUCCCCCUCCCACUUGCCCUCCCCUUUUCCCCCCAAUAGACCCCAGUGUUUAGUACUCCCCUCUCUGUGUCCAUGUGUUCUCAUUUUUCAUCACCCGCCUAUGAGUGAGAAUAUGCGGUGUUUCAUUUUCUGUUCUUGUGUCAGUUUGCUGAGGAUGAUGUUCUCCAGAUUCAUCCAUGUCCCUACAAACGACACAAACUCAUCAUUUCUGAUUGCUGCAUAAUAUUCCAUGGUGUAUAUGUGCCACAUUUUCCCAAUCCAGUCUAUCAUCAAUGGGCAUUUGGGUUGAUUCCAGGUCUUUGCUAUUGUAAACAGUGCUGCAAUGAACAUUCAUGUGCAUGUGUCCUUAUAGUAGAACGAUUUAUAGUCCUUUGGAUAUAUACCCAGUAAUGGGAUUGCUGGGUCAAAUGGAAUUUCUAUUUCUAAGGCCUUGAGGAAUCGCCACACCGUCUUCCACAAUGGUUGAACUAAUUUACACUCCCACCAACAGUGUAAAAGUGUUCCUUUUUCUCCACAUCCUCUCCAGCAUCUGUUGUCUCCAGAUUUUUUAAUGAUCGCCAUUCUAACUGGCGUGAGAUGGUAUCUCAAUGCGGUUUUGAUUUGCAUCUCUCUGAUGACCAGUGACGAUGAGCAUUUUUUCAUAUGAUUGUUGGCCUCAUAUAUGUCUUCUUUCAUAAAGUGUCUGUUCAUAUCCUUUGCCCACUUUUGAAUGGGCUUGUUUGUUUUUUUCCUGUAAAUCUGUUUGAGUUUUGUAGAUUCUGGAUAUUAGCCCUUUGUCAGAUGGGUAGAUUGCAAAAAGUUUUGCCCAUUUUGUUGGUUGCUGGUUCACUCUAUUGAUAGUUUCUUUUGCUGUAUAGAAGCUCUUAAGUUUAAUUAGAUUCCAUUUGUCUAUUUUGGCUUUUGUUUUUGCCAUUGCUUUUGGUAUUUUACUCAUGAAGUCCCUGCCCAUGCCUAUAUCCUGAAUGGUAUUGCCUAUGUUUUCUUCUAGAGUUUUUAUGGUGUUAGGUUUCAUGUUUAAAUAUUUACUCCAUCUGGAGUUAAUAUUUGUAUAAGGUGUAAAGGAAGGGGUCCAGUUUCAGCUUUUGCAUAUGGCUAGCGAGUUUUCCUAACACCAUUUAUUAAAUAGGGCAUCCUUUCCCCAUUGCUUGUUUUUGUCAGGUUUGUCAAAGAUCAGAUGGUUGUAGUUGUGUGGUGUUCUUUCUGAGGCCUCUGUUCUGUUUCAUUUGUCUAUAUCUCUGUUUUGGUACCAGUACCAUGCUGUUUUGAUUACAGUAGCCUUGUAACAUAGAUUGAAGUCAGGUAAUGUGAUGCCUCCAGCUUUGUUUUCUGCUUAGGAUUGUCUUGGCUAUGCAGGCUCUUUUUUGGUUCCAUAUGAAGUUUAAGGUGUUUUUUUCCAAUUCUGUGACGCUUUUCAAAUUGAGUGCUUUAUUAAUUUACAAUCGGUAAUUACUUGCUUACAAUAAAGGAAACAUUGCUUUGCAUAUAUAAAUAUGUUAUUAGAUUUGAAUUCCAAAUAGCUUCUAAUGAGUAGGCUCCCAUACAUCACAAUGUUACAACUGAUUUA